GACGAACGCUGGCGGCGUGCUUAACACAUGCAAGUCGAACGAAGAGCGAUGGAAGCUUGCUUCUAUCAAUCUUAGUGGCGAACGGGUGUGUAACGCGUAAUCAACCUGCCCUUCAGAGGGGGACAACAGUUGGAAACGACUGCUAAUACCGCAUACGAUCUAACCUCGGCAUCGAGGAUGGAUGAAAGGUGGCCUCUAUUUAUAAGCUAUCACUGAAGGAGGUGAUUGCGUCUGAUUAGCUAGGUGGAGGGGUAACGGCCCAUCAAGGAGGUGAUGAGUAGACGGUCUGAGAGGAUGAACGGCCACACUGGGACUGAGACGAGGCCCAGACUCAUACGGGAGGCAGCAGUGGGGAAUCUUCCGCGAUGGACGAAAGUCUGACGGAGCAACGCCGCGUGAGUGAUGACGGCCUUCGGGUUGUAAAGCUCUGUUAAUCGGGACGAAAGGCCUUCUUGCGAAUAGUUAGAAGGAUUGACGGUACCGGAAUAGAAAGCCACGGCUAACUACGUG
rnacentral:rRNA from 1 species